UACAGAGGGUGCAAGCGUUAAUCGGAAUUACUGGGCGUAAAGCGAGCGUAGUCGGUUAUUUAAGUCGGGUGUGAAAGCCCCGGGCUCAACCUGGGAAUUGCAUUCGAUACUGGAUAGCUAGAGUUCGGCAGAGGGAAGCGGAAUUUCCGGUGUAGCGGUGAAAUUCGUAGAUAUCGGGAGGAACACCAGUGGCGAAGGCGGCGACCUGGGCCAAUAUUGACGCUGAGGUGCGAAAGCGUGGGGAGCAAACAGG
rnacentral:rRNA from 1 species